CCCCCCUCACGCGCCCCGCAGCGCGCUGGUGUUGGGGCUCCUCCGCCUGGCGGAGGGCCCUCAAAGCGAGUGGCGGGCCCGGCUGGUUGGCUCCGAGCGCAGUACCGAACGCAAGUUCUCCCCUCGCCCGGACGCCCCCGCCGGCGCCCUGCCGUCAAAACGCGCAUGACGUGCAACUCUUUCCACAA
rnacentral:misc_RNA from 1 species